ensembl:lncRNA
UUAAUAUUUCUUACACAUCUACGAUAAAACAAAAACCUUCUCACCAGCAAGAACAUAGCUCUGUCCACCUGCAUUUUACCUUUCCUUCACUUCAACUGGCUGGUUAGGUGAAGAUAUAAAUUCAGGUCCUGGCACCACUCACAGAAAGUCUGUCUGUCUGACUACCGCUCAAUGCUCGGCUGCCUCCCCCCCUCCUUCCCUCCCUCCCUCUCCUGCUCCCCCUCUCUCCCUCGGAUCACUGUUGCCUACAGCCAACGAUGGGGAGGAAGUGUGAAAAGCUCAAGCAGAGAGAGCAACCCCAGGAGGUGCCAGCAAAUGAAUGACAGAAACAAGGAAAGUGUGUGCAUGACUCAUUGUGUGUUUGUGUACACACAGUUGUGAGAGAAGAAUUAGGUGUGAGCACGUGAGAUUGUAUUGCAUGCCAUUCUACACUCUUUUGAACUGGUCUGAUUCUCCUCUCUUAAAUCGAUAUGACCAUUAGCCUGACAGUGUUAUAACGGCAUUGACUAUGGAAAACCUUGUUUUUGUCAAAACAGUGCUGCUAUAAUACAACAAAUGUGACAACUUCCAUCCAAUGAUUUCAGCUUGCUUACUCACACACGUAUGCAUGCAAGAAAACACAAUCGCACACAAACACGCACCAUAAUCAUUUCAAAUAUAGAAAACACUUCAAUUUAAGUGCGGCGUUUGCACGAGGUACUUCACAAACAAACAUGGGAUCCAUUUUAGGACGUGUGUGCACACCUGACAUGAUAUCACUGAAGUGCUCAGGAUGCACAUGAGAAACAUGCAGGAGACAUGAUGAGUUGCUCACUUCAACCCUGAAAUCACAGAUGUUUAAACUCGUAAAUGCUGUAGGACAAGAAAUGGAGAGAAGUGCUCUCUGCCAGUGUUGUUAAGCAUUAAUGGAUUAAAAAAAAGCCACCACCCACACACACACAUAUAUGCAGACACUUCAGUGAUUCCUGAGGGGAAAAGUUCUGCAGUUUCAUCGACCCUGAAAUGGGAAGCGGUUUGCGGUAUUAAAAAGGAAUAUAUCCAUGUGCCAAGCAAGUAGAAGCAAAGAGUGUGUUGGUCAGGAGGAAGCGAGCAGAAGCAAUAGUCCUUCAGGCAAAGCGGGUUCCUGUAAUCCUAAUCAACUCUGCCAUGUAACAUGAUUCUGGUGCACAGACGAACAUCCCUUUGGCUUAUGCAAAACAAGGAGGAAGAAGCGAGUUGACUAUUACAGAAAGAGAAAACGUAUAUAACAUAAUAGCAAUAUACAAAAGGCCAACCAAAAGACUUAAUGUAUGACAGCGAGUACCUCACAUAACCAAUAUGCCUUUUUACAUCCCAGGGAGUUCAUAAACAUGCCAGCCAUAUUAUAUGGUUUAUUACCAUAAAAGUCAUAUUUUGUCCUGGAUAAUUCAGUGAUAUUGACAUACAUUGAUAAAUCAUAAGAGUAUCAGAAGUCAGUAUCUUUUUCACUCAUGGAUGUUUCCUUUGACCCUAAUAGUUACAUAUAAGAUACAGUAGUAUAGUAUAGUGAAUUUACAUUUGUUAAUUAAGUUAAUUAAGUUUGGUCAUCGUUUUCAAAAAUCAAUGCAGUGAAUUUAUGUACACAGCAAGUUCCAGAGGACCAGGUAUUGACCUCCAAUAAAACAUAUUCCAGCACACUGAAAUAAGACUUUAAUUUAUUCCAAUUAUCCCCAAAGGAAGCACUUUGUACCGUCGCGGUGUGACAACAGAAGAAAUGGUUCUGGUACACGAUUUAAAGCAUUUUUAAUGAGCUACAGUCAUUGUGUUUCUGCAUGUAUAAUUCUAGUGAAUAAUGCCAUUGAACUGUGUGGUUACCUCCCACUGGUUCCCACUGUAGCCAGUCCCUUUGCUUUCACAUCUGGCUAGAGCUUUGAAGUGUUCAGACGGCAGGUGUGCCAUCCACAUGCCGCACCAAUACACACACACACGGAGAGAGUGAGACAUAGACCUCUGUUGGCAGGUACAAAGAAAAGAUGCAUUGUCGUUUUGGUGUUCAGGGAUUGUUUUUGAUAAAGCAUAAUCACAUUCACACAUCUAAGCUUACUGAGGCUUUAAUGAGCAGAACAAAACAAGCUUAAAAACCACAUGGAUGUCAAAAGCGAGUCAUCUGGGGGAGAGCGUUGACGACGUCAACGCUCUCUCCAGAUGACUCGCUAAAGUCUUACUACUCACGAGAGAAAGACCUGAUCCACACAAUUUCCCCUCCCAGUAGCCCGUCACCAUUGUAUUUCCCAUGAAAGGAUGGAUUCACACACACGUGUGAGUACUUCCACACGUUCAAAAAGUGCCUUGAAAAUAUGUGCAAGUGAGCAAAAGCCACAGUAGAAUAAGUCAUAAGAUAUCAAAAAAAGUAAUUGUCAGCUGUCACUGUUCCAGACAUCAGCUUGCAUGUCAAGUUUUGGAGGUUGCAAUGUGCCAAAAAGUUUGACAAAACUACUCGGUUAUUUUAUUCUUCUCAGGGCACUUGUAUGAGAUCUCAAAAAACAAUUUCUCAAGGGUAUAUGUCAGUUUUUCUAUCGGCGUAUGUUGUUUUUUUAUGUCCCCGGUUCCUCUUCCAUUGCAGGAACAGAGAAAAGCCAAACAACAUAGCAGAUAGUCUUUUAAAAACAACAAAUGUGGGAGAAGUACUCAAAUCCUUUACUUUACUAAACAGACAAUACAACACUCAUAGAACUCUGAUCGAGUAAAUUGGUAUCAAAGCAUCAAAAGUAAAGGUACUUAUUGCAGAGAAUCUAAGCCUGUGACUGAAAUAUUAUCACAUAAGUAGAUAAGUGAUAAUACUGAAGCAUCUGUAUCCUAUGAAAAGCAUUUUACUUUGUUGCUUAGCAAGUUUAAACCAUUUUGAUGAAGACAAGUGCCAGUGGCUUUAGGAAGUUUUUGGCAACCACAAUUAGCACCACAGUCGAGUUAAAGGCUCCGGUUUUUACAAUCAAUUACAUACAUUCAAUCAAUAUGAAGCCUACUGUUUGCAGAUUAAACAUAAUCUAUACAAGAACAAAAGUAAUCCACUGACAUAGAUUGGUUUUCGUUUGUGUUCUUCGCCGACUCCAAUCACUUGAGAGCCCUGUGGUCCGUCCCUCAGCAGAAUUAUCCUCCCAGCGAGGGAAGUCAUUGGCCUUUCGAGGCAUUCCUGACUUCCCCCAUGGACAAAAAAACCCUUUUGCUUAUGUGGGCCGAGGGUGUCUGGCCUCCUCCCUGACCUUGCAGCAGCACAGCGCCGGAGCCCCUUCCAGAGACACCCGCCUGGACAGUAAAUGGCAGGUUGAAAUUUGGGCUGUGAAGUACAGCCUCACAGUGGGGGUUUGUCAGAUGCCUCUUCCUGCUCUUCUCCCCAAAUAAACGCGCUCUGAAAUUGGUGCGUCAGAUCAGUUAAUUGGGCUGCUUCUACUGAAAAGUGAUGUGCCCGCCUGCCAAACCCAGAGAUGCCUUCAGCUGAGUUUUGCCGGUUGGUCUCUCACAGGCUGGAAAUUAUCUGUAAGAUGCUUGGCAGCUUCAUGGAGCCUGACGGCGGCCUUCGCAGAAAUGAAGAGUACUGUUUGCAUUUCCCUCUUUAAUUUAGUCCUCACGUCUUGGCAUUGGAUAUGCAUGAAAGUCUGACUGGGCACUCACCUUGCGGAAGGCGAUGCACUACCUAAUCCCACAGGUCAAUUUUCAUCUCAACGUCAUCCGUCAGCACAGGAGCCAACCUUUCAAGGGAUUUCCUCCAGCGUCUGUUUGAUGGGAGUUGAGUUCUCCAUUUUGAUAUCAUCGCCAACGAGAUUUGUUCUUUCUGGCAUUUUGGCCGAACGGACCUGAAAGAGGAAUGAUGGGCUGGAACUGUGUUGAGCGAGAAAAAAGCUGAGUGCAUUAGAUCCUUUGAAACCAAUUCAGAGGAUCUGGAUACAAUAUUAACAGCUUGGUUUGUAUUAAAACUGACUCUGUGAGCUGUGACACACUAUGACAAUUUAAAAAGAUCAGCUACAUCAAUAUCAUUACUUAUUUGACCACCAUUGUAUGUUUGUUGGCCUCUCUGAGCUGUAUUAAAGACACUACGGAAAAUGGAAACACUCAAGUUCUGCUCAAGUCCCUUAAAUAUAAGUACAGUACUUGUAGAUGAGUUUUAUUAUUAUUUAUAAUCAAUUUCUGAGUCUAACGACACACUUAGAAAUAAGUCAAAAUAAAGAAAGUACUCGUAGAAACACUGAACCUGUUUUAGAAAUAACAUUGUUAUUACAUAAUUAUGUUUCUGCUGCGCUCUGUGUGCGUGCGUGCGUGCGUGUGUGUGUGUGUGUGUGUGUGUGUGUGUGUGUGUUAGGGCAACAGAGUAAUUAUCAGAAACAAGACUUUGAUCUUAUUGAAGUUUUUCCACACAGUGCGUGUGGGGUAUAUUUAUAUAAGUGAGUGUAUGUGUGUUUCAUACAUUAUUUUAAAAAAAAGCAUAAAACUUGGCUAAAACUUCCCAGUCUACCGUGAAAUGUAAACUACAUUUCUGUGGAUAACAACAGGGAAGUUUAAUCUCUGUCUCCUCCGGUGACUUUUUGGUCACAGUUUACGUGUCACUUUUCCUGCAAAAGCAAAUCAUUCUGCAUCAUUUCUUUUCAAAUUGGUGAAUAAUUGAGCGGAAGAUAUUUGAAUGCUGAACAGUGGCAGCAGGAGUCCACUCCAUUGAGCGGUGAGAUUGAUGCAUCGAAAAAACAACAACAAACAUUGCCUACAAUCACUCAUGAGGGGAUGCUCCACCGACAACAUCAUUAGUGACUCUGUGCUGCCUGCUAAAUCAAAGAGGUUUCCCGCCUUUGAUAAGAGAGGCUGAUGCCAUGUUUUCUGGUCUGAAUGACCAUGAAUUAAACAUAAACAUCAAUUAAACAGAAUGUGCAAAAAUUUGAGAGCGCCACGGUUUUAUGUGGCCAUCAUGAAAAUUAUAGAGCUGAAGCGCUGAUUGAAGGCAAAUGAUAGACAGAGCAAUGUUAUCAAGCAAAAUACAGCGUAGAAUAAACUGUAGAAGACUGUCAAGCCUAAAGAAAUUAGUUUAAUCACCAUAAAAAAAAACAUAGAAGGGUUUUCUGAUCUGAUGCAGUAGAUCAAUAUGAUUCUUUCUGUGCAAAACGGUCACAAAUCAUAUAAUAGACAAAUACAUUUUUCAGGGGAAAAUUAAAUAAAAAAUAAAAGCCUUUCUUCUAGGGAGGGAAGUCUUUGGACAUUACAAGCCUAACAAGGAACGAAUAAUCAGCACAACUUGCUUAACAACUCUGCUUAAUCCUGCUUUUGUUUGGAGAACUAUUUGCGAUGAAUUAUAUAAUGAUAGAAGUUUAUUUGGUUGCAUGGGCGUUGCCAAAUGAAGCCAUACUGAUAUCUGAACGAAUAAAACCUUAAUGUGUCUGAAGAUAAGAUGCAAAAUGUCAGCCUGCCACGAUGAAACUUUGAUAACCUGCUGUUUGUCUGAGAAAUGUGGAAUCUGUUUAAAAACUCAUCGUAAUCUUCCUCUGCAUAAUGGGGCCGUUCAUUGUUCGGAGCAGUAUUCACACACUGACUCCUGGAAACUUGUUAACAAUAAACACAUUCGAAUGCUUUGAGAACUGCAUAGAUGUCUGUGGGUGAAUUAUUAAAUGUUUCACACUUUCUGAAAACUUGACCUUUUCAGAGCGCAGUGUGUUUUCUGUUUGGGGGACACAGACGAUAGGUGUCUUAAUCAGAAUGGAGCAUUUAGUCUGCGCCGCCUAUGACAGCUUCAGACAGUUUCUCAUUACUGAGCUGGCAUUUAGCAUUUAGUCAUUUUAACAUUCAGCUCCUGUCGUGUAUGCUGAAUCACAGUCUGCGCCUUGCUGCUCCAAAACACACCCAAACACACACUACAGUGGGAAAACGUUUGAUGUAACCGUAAUAGACUGAUGAAGAAUGAUCCAGAGAACUACACAUAGUUAUGAAGACAGGGUGACAAACUUCCUCUGCUUAGUUCAUUCAUUGUUUUGCUUCAUUUGUUCAGUUAAUUCAUUGUAUUAGAGACUUGUGUCUCUCAGUUUUAGUAUUCAUAAAAUGCAAACUUGCUUCACAUUCUUGCAUUGAAACUGCAAAAUAAUUGAAUCAGGUCACUAGAAAACUAUAGAGCCGACUAACUAAAGUUGGCCGUUGUGUGGAUGUCAAACAAACUCUUCAAAAGGAGAAAUGGGCCAUCACAAGACAAUCAAACCCUCACUUCUCAAGUUCUCAAAUACUUUGAUUUAAAAGACUACAGAAAUAAAAUGAUGCUUGGAGAUGAUGCUCGUUGUGGUCAAUGCCAAAGCAAAACUCAAUUAUGAUUUAAUUUAUUUUUAACAGUGAAAGAUCUGUGAGAUUAAAUGCUCAUCCGACAGGCUAAAAUAUUGUUCUAUUAUUAUUUGAGGCUUUCCAAAGCUACCGUGUCAAUAGAACGUGACAGGCAAAUGCAGCGCGAGGGACACAUAGGACAAGAGCGUUAUUCUCAGACCAGGGACUGAGAAGGUGCAGCCGAGCGGGUAGGUGAGGGUGAUUGAGCUGAUGAGGAGCGUGUGGCUGAGAGGUGCACUCAACAAGCUGACCCGGUGAGAUGACACGUAUCAUAUGGGAGCAGACCUAUGACAAAUACCUCAUUUUUUUGCAAAAUUAAGGGUUGAUUAGUGCGAUCUGGCAUUUUUGGAGCUUGACCAGUAGGAAUAUUUGUAAAACGCACAAUGUCUCCAUUAAUGUGCUAUGAGUAUAUUAAUAUGAUCUUAGAGGUUUACAAGACAAAAAGAAAAUAAUAUAAUCAAAAAACAGCUGAUGAAUGGACCUUGUAGCAUGACUUUGUUUUCUCAACUGUCUCUAUUAAGGGCAAUAAUGUACUCGGAUAGCUUGUAGAUUGUUCCAUCUUCUGCAAUGCCAAAACAAAAUGAUCAGCCAGCAAUCUCUAAAUAUGUACCAAUGAGAUGGAUUUACUCCCAAUUCCACACCUGUGCUUUAUCAGCUGUGAUAAAUAAAUGUGCAAAUAUCCAAUCCACCGAGCUAUUUCCUGUUGCGUAGUUGCUGAUAACCCCUGCCCCUCUUGGUUGUAAUCAUUUCUGUCGUCUUGCCAUGUAACAGGACUGUUAAACGACUACCACAUGCUACCUCUCCUGCACAUCCGGCUGCUACAAAACACAGUAUCAGGAAAUGAACCCCUGGCGUACAGUGAAUCCUUAUCGCUGUGUUGCAGUCAGGAUUAUUUUGCUCAGUGUUGUGGAGGCACAAGCAGAGUGGGGACUUGGUGAUCUAAAAAAAGCAAAACCUAUCAAAAAGAGAAAUAGUCCGCACACGUACUGGAGCUCUAUAUUACAGAAUCGCACUCCAGUCCACCCAAGUUAACUGCAAUAACAGAUUCAGACCCAACCAUUUAUUUUGUUGGCAUGGCCCAAAAAACUGGCACAAACACCGGCAGCAUGGAUUCGUGAGCCAAGAAAAGCUUUGGCCGUGGCAGCACAUCAGGAACCACAGGUGACACCGAGACGUUCUGUUAAUGCGCACAUCAGCCACUCUUAGAUGCCAAACACACAAUGAAUCAACUUGGGAGGCAAAACCGUUUGAAUCCAAUGUGCAUAACAUGCAUAGAAUAAUUACUGUAUUAGCUUCUCUGUGCACGUGUGCACUGUGUGUUGCACAGAGGGAUUCUUGACUCCCAAUAGAUGUCAUUAUUUUCCACUUGCAAGCUCUGAUCUCAGCAUGAGUGCAGCGGUAUUUUCAUUAUUCCAUCUGUGUUAUUUCGUGUGCGUGCUUGCGUACUUGGAUGAGUCUGCGGGAGAAGAAGAAUGGGGAGGGAGGGGUCUCUUUUGUGUGUGUCCUUGUGUGGGUGUGUGCGCCACAAAAACUCGUGUCGCCCAAAAAGUUACAGACACUUUCUGGUGAGCAAGACUUGAGACUUGCGGAAAAUCAAAUUUCCAACUAAACUUCAUAGAAUGAAGAAGCUAUGGCGCAUCAAGUGUCACAGCACCAAGGGAAUCGGUUCAAGUCACCGGCACAAAUACAAUCUUUCAUCUCGUUCAGGAGCGAGCUUUUGAAUUAACUCUGUAUGGGGGCGUGACUGUCUACCCGACAGUGGCAGGCACAGGGCUCGUGUGUUGGAGAGUGGGAUGGGCUUCACCCCUGGAGAAGAGAAAUGACACGAUCAAUUACAUCAGCGAAAAGCUCGCCGAAGGUGUUAAAAGUGCUGUUUGUGAGUGCGGCAUGAAGGCAGCCGGGCGUUGCCGUGCUGCUGUCGGCAACCACCGAGAGCGCGGUCCGAUCAGCACCACGGACAGCACCGUGCUCAAGGCACCUUGACCUCAGGUCUCAUCACUGAACAUCAUCCGAUGUUGGACCAAAUUAGUGCAUGCGGACUGAUUUCAGGGAUAUUAAAGGAAUGAAUCUCAGAUGUAAAAAUUUGAGCCCAACUGGGGCCGAAUCGCUGCACCUUUAAUUCAAAUGAAGUCUGACAAGUGGAGGCCACUCAGGAGGUUGUCAGUUCUAAUGUUAACAAUGUGGCCAAGUAGAAGGACAGUAACAAUGGCACAGUGAGAGGUACCUGAUUCAAGCUGGGAUUUGUUCACACUGAAUUGUCAAAAGGAAUUCAAAUGUGUUGGAUUUAUAUUGUGUAUUAAAUUCACAUUUCAAUCAAAAUGUCUUCUUCUAGUACUAUGCACUAUAGAAACACUGUUUAGAAAUGUAUUUCUUGCUAGUUUGUACAGGUUUUCAACUUCUAUCUUUUGCAUAAACUUGACCCCAUUUAAAAUAUUUGAAUUAUAAAAACAAUUUCUGCAGAGUUAACAAAGUAUAAUUUUAAUAAAAGACAUAUUUAAUCCACAUAGAGAAAUACCUUUCAUGACUAAUCACAACUAAAACCAGUUGUGACAAUGUAGCUUAUAUUAUCUCAUCACAUUUUCUAAAAUAUUCCUCAGCUCUAAGCAUAUAUUAAAAAGAAUUAGUAUGACACUGAUUGACAGGAAAUUGAUGUAUGCAUUAAUCAAUUAAAUAUUAUCAUGCAUAUUAUUAGUUAUUGGUGCUGGCUGAAACUCCAUAAAAGAAGAUUUAAGAACACAUUGGUGACUGUAAAAACAACUCUUUUUAAAUAGUCUCGACGGCCUCAAUCAGGAAAAAAUGAUGUCUCAGAUUACUGCCAACAGCAUAGAAGAGAUUGUGCUUAGAACUUUUUCCAAUUCACUUCAAAAGUUCUUUGAAGCCUUUUAUUGAGAGAUGCAAUGUUUCAAAUAUUUCAGAAUCCUUUCCUUAUUAUCAAAUUUGACUCUUUGUUAACAGAAAAUCGAAUUAGGUGCAUUUCCUAGGUGACCAACUGCUACAGCUGUCCUUCCUGUCAACUUUUAUUUCAAUCUCUUGCAUCUCAGGUGUAACAGUUUAAUAGUUUGUGCAAGAAAUCAUUCCCGCUCUCCACUGUACAAAUUAAAUGAAAUGUAACUCUCUAGUUUCAUUUCGGUUCAUGUCAAAUCAAAUUAAUUAGGUUACCUUCUGUUCACAGCUUUAUAAUGUUCGUGUCAGUGUUUCGGUGCAGACCUUUUUGUACUAAAGAAUGAUGCAGUGAGUUGUUAAAAUUUCUGUGAACAGCAUCUCCAGCAGCAGAUCUCUUUGAACAGUAUUUCCCAGGGGUGCCGUAUCUUGAAUUGAGAGCAGACUUUCACAACCCUUUUCUCAAUUAAGCUGUUACUCUACUUCACUUUUUAUCUACAUAAAUAAUUUGAAAACAUAAAUUUAGACGUAAGGAAACAGAAAUUGUACAGAUGGAUGAUGCCCUUUCACCAUCAACCUUACUCUCUGCUCUGUUGCUCUCCUCUGUAGUUGGGAAAGCUGUGACUAAUUUAAUGCCGAAUAACUUCCUGCAGCUUUGAGUGAGAUGGAAAGAGAGGGAGACAGACAGACAAAGAGAGACUGGGAGGGCAGAGAGAUGAAGACAGCAGUCAGUGGAGAGAAAGGUAGAAAGUGAGACAAAAGGGAGAGGCAGACAGAGACAUUAUAAUGAGGACAGACCGAGCAGAAUAUUUAAACAGUGAAAUACUUUUCACAUUUCACAUAAUAUUUCAUUCUUACCGUCUGGUUUGAGAUUCCACCCUGGGCGGACAGAUUGACAGACUAUUUUUCAACAGCGGUGCUUUGCCUCCCCGGCUACUGCAACAGUAAACCUCUCCCUUGAUGACUGCCAUAAAUUCUCCGCAAAUCCACAUAUAUUUCUGUCGUACUUGUGGUGACAGAUAAUGAUUUUUGCAGAGGUUAAUGUGUUUGUCUAUUUAUCUAUAGUGUAUUAAUCUAAGUAACAUCAUCAAAUCCAUGGAGUCAUCAUCACAAUUGUGGUUCUUUGUGUUGAUUCAAUGGAAUAAAGAGCAAAUACAUGUUUAGAAAGCAAAAUAAGUUUUCUGAACUGAAAAAAAACAUAAUCAUUGAUCUAAAAAGUUCAAAUUGAUUAAAUAAUACAUUUGGUAUGGUAAUGACUACGGUUGGUCCGGCUAUAUUGGCCUUUUAUAGCAGGUAAUUACUGCACACAUGCAGUUGACAGGGAAAAAUAAUAAAACCUGUGAAAAAAAACAUCUUUCAGUGCAUCUGCCUGACUCCACGUGAAGACACCACACCACAAUCUGCCGCUUUGACUUAAUUUAGAGUAAAAGACACACUGUUUGGUCCAUAUAGCGUAAAUUCACAAAUCUGUCACUUAAAUCAUCGCAGCAAAAUGAAAUAAUUAUCAUGAAAAGCUGACUGCUGACCCUAAUUCUACCUUAGAGGCCCCGAUAUCCCUCGGGUCUUCAUUAUACCGCAGCAUUGAGAAUAACUGUCUAUAUUACAUAUAAUGCAGUGAAUUGAGUGUUCCUACUUCCCCCACGGUCUUUGUGAGGAGUGGGUGCAGACCUUUAUGAAAGUGUAAUUAUAAAGGCUUUUGAAGAGGUAGCCCCUCUGCAGCACAAAGGAUGCACUUAAAAAUACAGGCGCCAUUUUAAAACCAGUCAUCCUUAUUCGUUCAUAAUUGUUAUGAAAGUCAAUUUAGUGGUUUCAUGCUGAAAUUCAAAUUCUAAGUCAGGUUUAGGCCAGAAAGGCACUCAUCGAGACUGAAGGAAACAUCACGAUUAGGCUGGUGGGAUUACACACUGGGACACUCGUGUUGAGUGACAUGUACACAAAACCAGUAGAAUGCAUUUCAAGUACGAUUAUUAAACCAAGUACCUUUGUAUAAGUAUUGUAAAAAAAGCUCUCCAUGGCACAGAUGGUUGGUUAUCUCCAACUGUAAAUUAAGCCCGUAUUUGCCUGAAAAAGUAAACUUUAAAUCCUAUGAAGCAACAUCUCCUUACAAUAAAGAUUUUCAGACAAAUAUUUUGUCUUUUACUUAAACUGCUGUUUUUUCAUCUGUCUGUCACUUCUUUACAUUUUGAUAGAUAAAAGUGCUUGCAAGAAGUGCAUUACUCUUUAUAUUUGUUAUAAUACCGCCAUUUAAAAAAUAUAAUUUUUGACAUUUAAAAGCUUAUUGAAAAAAACACUCAUAUUUGAAGAAAAAGUGAACCUCAAACCUCGUACAAGAUGCCUGAUUUACACAUACACAAACGUAUAAACCACAUCAUGUUCUACACCUAACUCAUAAUUGAACCUAUUUUAAUAGCAGUUUAACAGAGAAUGACACCAUGUAAGUGUGCUCCACUUGUUUGCAACCGUCACGGUUACGUCUCUGUACAGCGCCCAUACCAUGAUUGCAGCUGAUGCUGUCGUCACAACCUGCAGUGUUGUUGUGGCUGCGUGGCACAAUCAGUUACCUUGGUCGGCUUGAUGGCUGCAUUUAGCAUCGUUAAACAUGAGUUGCAACGUUGAGAGCCCUUAAGAGGCAAUCAAAAUGACCCUAAUCAUUUAAAAUGUCUGUUACUGUGGCUCAGUGCUGAAGAAAACAACAGGGGACCCACGCUGCCACAGUCAGUGUCUCUCCAGUCGUGCCCCCGGCUGGACUGAGAUCUCUAGCCCGAGGUUUAAAAUGAGGAGGAGGACUUUCCUUUUCAAGAGAAAACCAGGCGUCGGCCUUGUUAAAAUAUUAACAAGGCCGGGGACUGAACCAGUGCUGCACAGCCCGGGCCUCUGCCUAACGUCAGGGCAGAAACGCCAUUAAAAAGAGACUUUGGUCUAAAGAGGAAGAAUAUGAAUAAGAGAAGGGAAGCCAUAGCCUAAGGCUUAAAAAAAGUGGCUAAACAUCAAAGAAAGUGAAAAUCUGUAAAUCCUUAUUUAGACAGAUAAUCAAACUAAUUCCAAAGGAAUAAUAAUUUAAAGUAACCUUCUGAGCCCAACUGCUUGUGAGUCAGUCUUAGCUCAGCACUGGAGAUGAACUCCAUCAUGAUGCAACAAUCCUGCAAUGGAGACACACAGAGAAAAUAUGCAGACUACUAAUGUAUGCAUGUCUUCUGUUUAAUAUUCUUCCUAAUCACAUGUUGGUCGUAUUAUUAAACCAGAAGGCACUGACUCAUUCUUGAUUUCUCCCAUAUAGGCUGCCGAGAAGUUACAAUGAUGUAUCUCUCAUCAGAGAAUCUGUAGCUUUUUUUAAUAGCUUCAAGCAGAGAACGUGAUUUAAAUUUGUACAUGACUUGACAUUUGCUCACUGAAUAAUGGGGAACGGAAAACAACAUUGGAGAGAUAAGAGUGACGAGGAGAGAAGAGGAUAUGAAAUGCAACAAAGGAUGCGAACUGGAUCUGAAUCUGUCAUUAAUCAAUCCUGUUUGUAAGCAUUUCUUAAUUCUUCACCCCCCGAGUUGCAACAAAGCAUCUCACCACUUAGAGAUCUGAUACGCCGCGUGAAGCGAUGCCUGCACCUCUUCAGGGAGCAACAUUUGACUUGAGAGCAGAAAUAUUCAUUGCUACACAAGGAGACAGGGGCCAAAUUAGGCAGGCUGAUUGCUAUUCUGAAAUGUGGCGUAGUGCAGCGAGACCAGUGCCGAGAGAAAAUCUGUGCCCUGACAAAAAGAGGAAGAAGUGAAGGGUGUGUGUGUGUGUGUGUGUGUGUGGCGAUAGGCCAUAAUUAAUGUAGUGAUUCAUUCUCAUAGUCAGAGUAUUUCUCUCCCUCGCUACCAAACACACACUCACACACACACACACAAUGUGUCUGAGCACUCUCUUCAGAGAUGAUUUAAAAAGAUUAAAAGUGAGAACCAGAUUUCUCUACCAACCUUGUUGCUAUGGCGAUACAAAAUUUAGCCUCUUUCUCUCUCUCUCUCGCUCUCCUUCUUAUGGUCAUAUCAUCAAAUCAACAUGAGUGCAGUCUUGAACACAGAGGCAUGUGUGUGUGUGUGUGUGUGUGUGUGUGCGCUCCUGCUGUGUUAUUGCUAUCUGGUAACAAUUUGGGACUCCGGAUGAAUCAGCCCGGUGUGAUCUCAUGUUAGUGGACCUCCUCUGCUGCAGACGGGAAAUCUUCUAUCUUUCAAAAUAAAUUUUGG